AGCAAGAGUUCCAUCCUAGCAAAAUGGAGAUAGUAGUUGAAGGCAGCAGGACAACAUUUAGAAGAGCUUCCAGAAAUGGAGAUGCCUCCACUGGGUGAGGAGGUGUACCCAUAAAUGCUGAUGUGGCAUUCUUGCACAUGGCCACCUUGAAGGUCUCUGAAGUUACCUAGUGUGAACUAGAUAUUCCAGAAGGCUAUGCUAAAUUGGACUGAGCCAGCACUCGUUCAGCUAAACAAGUGCAGCCUGUGCCUUCUUUCCAAGCACCCUGGCCAAUGAGUGCUUACUACUAGAAUCCUUAUCCCACUUUUUGUCCAGAAAACAAUACAAACCAUGAAGAGGACUCUGUGUAAUUAUUCCCAAGAAAGAGAUCAAAGACAAGGAGGAAAAGUAAGCAAGUGAAUGUAAAGGAC